AAUGGUAGGGAAUGAGAAGGAAAAACUAUUCCUUGUGAAUGGUGAUUUUUUUCAGGAACAUUAAGGAAUGGAUAAUUCCUCUCCGUUCCUUCGUCACCAUUCAUACCCUUAGUAUUAUAGAGCAACCUUCAAACAUUAGGUUAAAAAGUAGGUCAUAUCGAAAUAUUGGAAAUAAAAUAUAUUCCAUGUACGUUAAGAGUUGUGAAACAAUGGAAAAUAGGACAAUCAAUCUUAUUAUCAAUAACAAUAAGAUCGAGAUUACGGGACAUAUAAUAUUGUGUUCCCAUAGUUUUAUAACUCCAAAAACAAUAAUAAUAUUUCCAAACUGGUUUUACUUGGUACGAACGCACGAUCUUAAUUAUGAAUAUAUAUUAUUUCAAAUUUCCCGGUAACUUAUUGAAUGGUUGCGUAAUCUCCAAGUCAAAUGCGAAC
rnacentral:lncRNA from 1 species